rnacentral:rRNA from 1 species
UACGUAGGGUGCGAGCGUUGUCCGGAAUUAUUGGGCGUAAAGAGCUUGUAGGCGGUUUGUCGCGUCUGCUGUGAAAAUCCGGGGCUCAACCCCGGACUUGCAGUGGGUACGGGCAGACUAGAGUGUGGUAGGGGAGACUGGAAUUCCUGGUGUAGCGGUGGAAUGCGCAGAUAUCAGGAGGAACACCGAUGGCGAAGGCAGGUCUCGUGGGCCACUACUGACGCUGAGAAGCGAAAGCAUGGGGAGCGAACAGG